rnacentral:rRNA from 1 species
UACGUAGGGUGCAAGCGUUGUCCGGAAUUAUUGGGCGUAAAGAGCUCGUAGGCGGCUUGUCGCGUCGAAUGUGAAAACUCGGGGCUCAACUCCGAGCUUGCAUUCGAUACGGGCAGGCUAGAGUUCGGUAGGGGAGACUGGAAUUCCUGGUGUAGCGGUGAAAUGCGCAGAUAUCAGGAGGAACACCAACAGCGAAGGCAGAUCUCUGGGACGUAACUGACGCUGAGGCACGAAAGCGUGGGGAUCAAACAGG